rnacentral:rRNA from 1 species
AGAGUUUGAUUCUGGCUCAGGACGAACGCUGGCGGCGUGCCUAAUACAUGCAAGUCGAACGCUUCUUUUUCCACCGGAGCUUGCUCCACCGGAAAAAGAGGAGUGGCGAACGGGUGAGUAACACGUGGGUAACCUGCCCAUCAGAAGGGGAUAACACUUGGAAACAGGUGCUAAUACCGUAUAACAAUCGAAACCGCAUGGUUUUGAUUUGAAAGGCGCUUUCGGGUGUCGCUGAUGGAUGGACCCGCGGUGCAUUAGCUAGUUGGUGAGGUAACGGCUCACCAAGGCGACGAUGCAUAGCCGACCUGAGAGGGUGAUCGGCCACAUUGGGACUGAGACACGGCCCAAACUCCUACGGGAGGCAGCAGUAGGGAAUCUUCGGCAAUGGACGAAAGUCUGACCGAGCAACGCCGCGUGAGUGAAGAAGGUUUUCGGAUCGUAAAACUCUGUUGUUAGAGAAGAACAAGGAUGAGAGUAACUGUUCAUCCCUUGACGGUAUCUAACCAGAAAGCCACGGCUAACUACGUGCCAGCAGCCGCGGUAAUACGUAGGUGGCAAGCGUUGUCCGGAUUUAUUGGGCGUAAAGCGAGCGCAGGCGGUUUCUUAAGUCUGAUGUGAAAGCCCCCGGCUCAACCGGGGAGGGUCAUUGGAAACUGGGAGACUUGAGUGCAGAAGAGGAGAGUGGAAUUCCAUGUGUAGCGGUGAAAUGCGUAGAUAUAUGGAGGAACACCAGUGGCGAAGGCGGCUCUCUGGUCUGUAACUGACGCUGAGGCUCGAAAGCGUGGGGAGCAAACAGGAUUAGAUACCCUGGUAGUCCACGCCGUAAACGAUGAGUGCUAAGUGUUGGAGGGUUUCCGCACUUCAGUGCUGCAGCUAACGCAUUAAGCACCCCGCCUGGGGAGUACGACCGCAAGGUUGAAACUCAAAGGAAUUGACGGGGGCCCGCACAAGCGGUGGAGCAUGUGGUUUAAUUCGAAGCAACGCGAAGAACCUUACCAGGUCUUGACAUCCUUUGACCACUCUAGAGAUAGAGCUUCCCCUUCGGGGGCAAAGUGACAGGUGGUGCAUGGUUGUCGUCAGCUCGUGUCGUGAGAUGUUGGGUUAAGUCCCGCAACGAGCGCAACCCUUAUUGUUAGUUGCCAUCAUUUAGUUGGGCACUCUAGCAAGACUGCCGGUGACAAACCGGAGGAAGGUGGGGAUGACGUCAAAUCAUCAUGCCCCUUAUGACCUGGGCUACACACGUGCUACAAUGGGAAGUACAACGAGUCGCAAAGUCGCGAGGCUAAGCUAAUCUCUUAAAGCUUCUCUCAGUUCGGAUUGUAGGCUGCAACUCGCCUACAUGAAGCCGGAAUCGCUAGUAAUCGCGGAUCAGCACGCCGCGGUGAAUACGUUCCCGGGCCUUGCACUCACCGCCCGUCA